GGGUUGUGAGGUUAAGCGACUAAGCGUACACGGUGGAUGCCCUGGCAGUCAGAGGCGAUGAAGGACGUGCUAAUCUGCGAUAAGCGUCGGUAAGGUGAUAUGAACCGUUAUAACCGGCGAUUUCCGAAUGGGGAAACCCAGUGUGUUUCGACACACUAUCAUUAACUGAAUCCAUAGGUUAAUGAGGCGAACCGGGGGAACUGAAACAUCUAAGUACCCCGAGGAAAAGAAAUCAACCGAGAUUCCCCCAGUAGCGGCGAGCGAACGGGGAGCAGCCCAGAGCCUGAAUCAGUGUGUGUGUUAGUGGAAGCGUCUGGAAAGGCGCGCGAUACAGGGUGACAGCCCCGUACACAAAAAUGCACAUACUGUGAGCUCGAUGAGUAGGGCGGGACACGUGGUAUCCUGUCUGAAUAUGGGGGGACCAUCCUCCAAGGCUAAAUACUCCUGACUGACCGAUAGUGAACCAGUACCGUGAGGGAAAGGCGAAAAGAACCCCGGCGAGGGGAGUGAAAAAGAACCUGAAACCGUGUACGUACAAGCAGUGGGAGCACGCUUAGGCGUGUGACUGCGUACCUUUUGUAUAAUGGGUCAGCGACUUAUAUUCUGUAGCAAGGUUAACCGAAUAGGGGAGCCGAAGGGAAACCGAGUCUUAACUGGGCGUUAAGUUGCAGGGUAUAGACCCGAAACCCGGUGAUCUAGCCAUGGGCAGGUUGAAGGUUGGGUAACACUAACUGGAGGACCGAACCGACUAAUGUUGAAAAAUUAGCGGAUGACUUGUGGCUGGGGGUGAAAGGCCAAUCAAACCGGGAGAUAGCUGGUUCUCCCCGAAAGCUAUUUAGGUAGCGCCUCGUGAAUUCAUCUCCGGGGGUAGAGCACUGUUUCGGCAAGGGGGUCAUCCCGACUUACCAACCCGAUGCAAACUGCGAAUACCGGAGAAUGUUAUCACGGGAGACACACGGCGGGUGCUAACGUCCGUCGUGAAGAGGGAAACAACCCAGACCGCCAGCUAAGGUCCCAAAGUCAUGGUUAAGUGGGAAACGAUGUGGGAAGGCCCAGACAGCCAGGAUGUUGGCUUAGAAGCAGCCAUCAUUUAAAGAAAGCGUAAUAGCUCACUGGUCGAGUCGGCCUGCGCGGAAGAUGUAACGGGGCUAAACCAUGCACCGAAGCUGCGGCAGCGACACUAUGUGUUGUUGGGUAGGGGAGCGUUCUGUAAGCCUGUGAAGGUGUGCUGUGAGGCAUGCUGGAGGUAUCAGAAGUGCGAAUGCUGACAUAAGUAACGAUAAAGCGGGUGAAAAGCCCGCUCGCCGGAAGACCAAGGGUUCCUGUCCAACGUUAAUCGGGGCAGGGUGAGUCGACCCCUAAGGCGAGGCCGAAAGGCGUAGUCGAUGGGAAACAGGUUAAUAUUCCUGUACUUGGUGUUACUGCGAAGGGGGGACGGAGAAGGCUAUGUUGGCCGGGCGACGGUUGUCCCGGUUUAAGCGUGUAGGCUGGUUUUCCAGGCAAAUCCGGAAAAUCAAGGCUGAGGCGUGAUGACGAGGCACUACGGUGCUGAAGCAACAAAUGCCCUGCUUCCAGGAAAAGCCUCUAAGCAUCAGGUAACAUCAAAUCGUACCCCAAACCGACACAGGUGGUCAGGUAGAGAAUACCAAGGCGCUUGAGAGAACUCGGGUGAAGGAACUAGGCAAAAUGGUGCCGUAACUUCGGGAGAAGGCACGCUGAUAUGUAGGUGAAGUCCCUCGCGGAUGGAGCUGAAAUCAGUCGAAGAUACCAGCUGGCUGCAACUGUUUAUUAAAAACACAGCACUGUGCAAACACGAAAGUGGACGUAUACGGUGUGACGCCUGCCCGGUGCCGGAAGGUUAAUUGAUGGGGUCAGCGCAAGCGAAGCUCUUGAUCGAAGCCCCGGUAAACGGCGGCCGUAACUAUAACGGUCCUAAGGUAGCGAAAUUCCUUGUCGGGUAAGUUCCGACCUGCACGAAUGGCGUAAUGAUGGCCAGGCUGUCUCCACCCGAGACUCAGUGAAAUUGAACUCGCUGUGAAGAUGCAGUGUACCCGCGGCAAGACGGAAAGACCCCGUGAACCUUUACUAUAGCUUGACACUGAACAUUGAGCCUUGAUGUGUAGGAUAGGUGGGAGGCUUUGAAGUGUGGACGCCAGUCUGCAUGGAGCCGACCUUGAAAUACCACCCUUUAAUGUUUGAUGUUCUAACGUUGACCCGUAAUCCGGGUUGCGGACAGUGUCUGGUGGGUAGUUUGACUGGGGCGGUCUCCUCCUAAAGAGUAACGGAGGAGCACGAAGGUUGGCUAAUCCUGGUCGGACAUCAGGAGGUUAGUGCAAUGGCAUAAGCCAGCUUGACUGCGAGCGUGACGGCGCGAGCAGGUGCGAAAGCAGGUCAUAGUGAUCCGGUGGUUCUGAAUGGAAGGGCCAUCGCUCAACGGAUAAAAGGUACUCCGGGGAUAACAGGCUGAUACCGCCCAAGAGUUCAUAUCGACGGCGGUGUUUGGCACCUCGAUGUCGGCUCAUCACAUCCUGGGGCUGAAGUAGGUCCCAAGGGUAUGGCUGUUCGCCAUUUAAAGUGGUACGCGAGCUGGGUUUAGAACGUCGUGAGACAGUUCGGUCCCUAUCUGCCGUGGGCGCUGGAGAACUGAGGGGGGCUGCUCCUAGUACGAGAGGACCGGAGUGGACGCAUCACUGGUGUUCGGGUUGUCAUGCCAAUGGCACUGCCCGGUAGCUAAAUGCGGAAGAGAUAAGUGCUGAAAGCAUCUAAGCACGAAACUUGCCCCGAGAUGAGUUCUCCCUGACCCUUUAAGGGUCCUGAAGGAACGUUGAAGACGACGACGUUGAUAGGCCGGGUGUGUAAGCGCAGCGAUGCGUUGAGCUAACCGGUACUAAUGAACCGUGAGGCUUAACCUUACAACGCCGAAGCUGUU
rnacentral:rRNA from 1 species